UACAGAGGUGGCAAGCGUUGUUCGGAAUUACUGGGCGUAAAGGGCGCGUAGGCGGCCUACUAAGUCAGACGUGAAAUCCCCCGGCUUAACCUGGGAACUGCGUCUGAUACUGGAAGGCUUGAGGAUGGGAGAGGGAUGUAGAAUUCCAGGUGUAGCGGUGAAAUGCGUAGAUAUCUGGAGGAAUACCGGUGGCGAAGGCGGCAUCCUGGACCAUUACUGACGCUGAGGCGCGAAAGCUAGGGGAGCGAGCGGG
rnacentral:rRNA from 1 species